GAAAUGCGAUACGUAAUGUGAAUUGCAGAAUUCAGUGAAUCAUCGAAUCUUUGAACGCACAUUGCGCCCGCCAGUAUUCUGGCGGGCAUGCCUGUUCGAGCGUCAUUUCAACCCUCAGGCGCCCCCGCGCGCCUGGUGUUGGGGGACGGCCGGGCGGGGACGGCCGCGGGAACCGGGGCGGUGGUGGGAGCUCACGCUCCGACCCCCCUCCCCCCCGCGGCCUCCCCCGCGAGCGCCGCCCCCGAAAUGAAUCGGCGGCCACGUCGCAGCCCCCUUUGCGCAGUAGCACCUACCUCGCAACCGGGCGGCGCGGCGCGGCCACCGCCGUAAAAACCCCAACUCCUCCAGAGUUGACCUCGAAUCAGGUAGGAAUACCCGCUGAACUUAA
rnacentral:misc_RNA from 1 species